CUGUGCCGUAUCGAAGAUGAUAUAGGCAACAUAUGUCAUAUACCUUGCUGUAUAUGACACAGCACUCCGCGACAGGACCAGGCUCGUCCUGUCUCAUCGUCGCACUAUGGUGCGACGACGCGAUUCCGUGUUGAAUGACGUUUGCCCUCGUCUGGGCAACGUCCGGAGGA
rnacentral:ncRNA from 1 species